GCCAGGUGCAGUAGCGCACACCUGUAAUCCCAGCGCUUGGGAAGCUGAGGCAGGAGGAUGGUGGGUUCCAAGCCAGCCUCAGCAACAUCGAGGUGCUAAGCAAUUCAGUGAGACUCUGCCUCGA
rnacentral:sRNA from 1 species